GCCUGGGUGGCUCAGUCGGUUGAGCGUCCGACUUCGGCUCAGGUCAUGAUCUCACAGUCCGUGGGUUCGAGCCCUGCGUCGGGCU
rnacentral:tRNA from 1 species